AGGUUCGGAGAGGAGCUGGGUUCAGAGGAGCAGGCCUGGGGGGUCAGCAGCUACUGCCCUGCCUUGGGUGGGGCCAAGGGGCGCGAUUUGGGAGGGCGGGGAUCGGAGGAUGCUUCGGAGGAUGCUUCGAAGGAUCCUUGGGGUUAUCCUAGAAUAUUCCUUGAGGGUUAUCGCAGUAGGUGAGGGCCAGAUUAGUUGAGUGUGCGUAGCUGGAUCCCCGUUCUGGUCGGCGGGGCCUUGAGGGUCCUUUCCGAGGGCUUGAGGCCUGGAGAGUGCUGGGGGCGAGCACGCAGCGAAGGGGCAGGCCUGAAAUGUGACAGGUCAUUUUUCUAUUUGUGCUUGCAAGAUAUUCUCUUUGGAUUUCAAGAUUUUUGACCAUGAUGUGCCUGAGUGUUUUGUCCUGUCUAACCAUGGCUGGAAUCUCUCAAAAAUGAGCAGUAAGGGAGUUCCCACAAGGGAGUGGCUGAAAUUGAGGAGAGAGGCCAUUUCUCCUACUGUCCCCUGUCUCCAAAGAAAAGGAGGAAGUAAAAACUGAAAAAUAACAGACUGAUCGGCACCACUGGCCAGGCCUGUAGGUUAAAGAUUAACCCACAACCUAACCGCUUGUGAUAUCUAUAUAUCACAGACAAUGGUAUGGAGAAACACUUGCCUUGCUCACCACCCCCACCUAGUCAUGUACCCCAUGCUUGUUCAAUCUAUCACGACCCUUUCACGUGGACCCCUUAGAGUUGUAAGCCCUUAAAAGGGCCAGGAACUCUUUCUUAGGGGGGCUUCGUUCUUGAGACGCAUGUCUGCCAACGCUCCUGACCAAAUAAAGCCUCUUCCUUACAUUUCUUGGUUCCCUGACCGGGAAGCGAGGUGAUUAACGAUGGUCGAGGCAGCCCCUUAGGCGGCUUAGGCCUGCCCUGCGGAGCAUCCCUGCAGGGGACUCCGGCCAGUUUGAGCAACGCGGAUCCUGAGAGCACUCCCGGGUAGGCAUUUGCCCUCGUGGAACACCUCGUCAGAGCGGUGCAUGGCAGGCCCCCACAGAGGAUCAAUGCAGCGGCUGAACACCAGGAAGGAACUGGCACUUGGAGUCUGGACAUCUGGAAUAUGUGGGAGGAUCUGGAGUCAGCUGUCACCACUCAGUACACUUGGACCCGGCUCCCCCAAGGGUUCAAGAACUCCCCCACCAUCUUCGGGGAGGCACUGGCUCGAGACCUCCAGAAAAUUCCCACCAGAGACCUAGGCUUCGUGCUGCUCCAGUACGUUGACAACUUCCUGCUGGGACACCCCAUGGCAGUCAUGUGUGCCAAGGGAAUGGAUACCCUGCUCUGGCACCUGGAGGACUAUAGGUAUAAGGUGUCCAAGAAGGAAGCUCAGAUCUGCAGAUAGCAGGUAUGUUACCUGGGAUUUACUAUCCGACAGGGAGAGCACAGCCUGGGAUCAGAAAGAAAGCAAGUCAUCUGCAACCUGCUGGAGCCUAAGACCAGAAGGCAGGUGAGAGAAUUCUUAGGAGCUGUAGGGUUCUGCAGAUUGUGGAUCCCAAACUUUGCAGUAUUGGCUAAGCCCCUGUACGGAGUCACAAAGUGAGGAGACACAGAACUUUUCAAAUGGGGGUCCCAACAGCAAUGAGCUUUUCAUGAGUUAAAAGAGAAACUCAUGUCGGCCCCAGCCCUGGGGCUACCUGACCUAACAAAACCUUUCACACUGUAUGUGUCAGAGAGAGAAAAAAUGGCCAUUGGAGUUUUAAUCCAGAUGGUGGGGCCCUGGCCAAGACCGGUAGCCUACCUCUCCAAAGAGCUAGAUGGAGUUUCUAAGGCAAGGUCUGAAAGAUGCGAGAUGUAGAAGUACCAGCCUAACAACUUUUCAAGUGACUCUUGGCCUAGGUGGGUGGUCUCAUGCACAGCCAGUAUGACUGCGGCUCCUAGCAGUUGUGGCAUGGCUAUUCUUCCAUCCGACAACUGGAUCCAUCCCUCUUCUAUCACCUGCCCUCCCUCUGCCUGGAGAAAGUCCAGGCAGGAUGAAUUGCUGGUGAAUUAUCUCAUGCCCCCUGACAGUGCAGGUCUGGGGCAAACAGAAAGCUUGCUUUGCCGAAACCCCCGUGGCUCCAAUUAUAUCAAUAGUCUUUUUGGAUAAGGGGGCGACUGGGGUGGUUACUACUGAAUGUUCAGCACCAGUAUCGACAAGAAUUAUCUGUCGAUAAUUGAGCCUGGCCCCUGUGCUUAAGAGCCUUGGCAGCAACUGCCCUGCUAGCACUAGAGGCAGAUAAGCUACCUCUUGCCCUAACUUUAUGUUUAGGGCAAAACCUAAACAUAAAGGCCCCCUAGCUGGGCACGGUGGUUCACGCUUGUAAUACCAGCACUUUGGGAGGCUGAGGCGGGCGGGUCAUGAGGUCAGGAGAUCGAGAUCAUCCUGGCUAACACGGUGAAACCCCAUCUCUACUAAAAAUACAGAAAAAUUAGCCGGGCAUGGUGGCGGGCGCCUGUAGUCCCAGCUACUCGGGAGGCUGAGGCAGGAGAAUGGCGUGAUCCCGGGAGGCAGAGCUUGCAGUGAGCCAAGAUCGCACCACUGCACUCCAGCCUGGGCAACAGAGUGAGACUCCAUCUCAAAAAAAAGAAAAAACAUAAAGGCCUCCCCAUGCUGUGGUAACACUAAUGAACACCAAAGGACGUAACUGGCUAACGAAUGCUAGACUAACUAGGUACCAAAGCUUGCUCUGUGAGAAUCCCCGCAUAACCAUUGAAGUUUGCAACACCCUGAACCCCGCCACCUUGCUCCUGGUAUCAGAGAGCCAAGUUGAACAUAACUGUGUAGAGGUGUUGCAGUCAGUUUAUUCUAGCAGGCCCGACCUCCGAGACCAUCCUUGGACAACAGUAGACUGGGAGCUGUACGUGGACGGGAGCAGCUUUGUCGACCCACAAGAAGAGAGGUGUGUAGGAUAUGGUAAUCCUGGAUGCUGUCAUUGAAGCCAAAUCGUUGCCCUAGGGCACUUCAGCCCGCAAGACCAAACUCAUUGCUUUAAUUCUGGCCUUUGAGCUAAGUGAAGGUAAGACUGUAAACAUUUACACUGACUCUUGGUAUGCCUUUUUAACUCUCCAACUGCGUGGGGCAUUCUACAAGGAAAAAGCCCUGUUGAACGCUGGGAGAAAAGACAUAAAGUAUCAGCAAGAGAUCCUGCAAUUAUUAGAGGCAGUGUGGAAGCCCCAAAAGGUGGCUCAUGCACUGCAGAGGACACCAGCGAGCUUCUACCUCGAUUGCCUUGGGGAACCCCCAAGCUGACUCAGAGGCUCGAAAAGCAGCAUCCACCCCCUACCAGGCAUCAGUCACAGCCCCCUGCUCCCUCAGGCACCUGACCUUGUACCUACUUAUUCUAAAGAGAAGGACUUUCUCCAGGCAGAGGGAGGGCAGGUGAUAGAAGAGGGAUGGAUCCAGUUAUCGGAUGGAAGAAUAGCUGUGCCACAACUGCUAGGAGCCGCAGUCAUACUGGCUGUGCAUGAGACCACCCACCUAGGCCAAGAGUCACUUGAAAAGUUGUUAGGCUGGUACUUCUACAUCUUGCAUCUUUCAGCCCUUGCCAAAACAGUGGCGCAGCAGUGUGUCACCUUCUGGCAGCACAAUGCUAGGCAAGGUCUAACCAUCCCCGCCAGCAUACAAGCUUAUGGAGCAGCCCCUUUUGAAGAUCUCCAAGUAGACUUCACCAAGAUGCCCAAAUGUGGAGGUAACAAGUAUUUGCUAGUUCUAGUGUGUACAUACUCUGGGUGGGUGGAGGCCUAUCCAACACGGACCGAGAAAGCUCGUGAAGUAACCCAUGUGCUUCUCCGAGAUCUCAUCCCUAGGUUUGGACUGCCCUUACAAAUCAGCUCAGACAACGGGCCGGCAUUUGUGGCUGACUUGUUACAGAAGACAGCAAAGGUAUUGGGGAUCACAUGGAAACUACAUACCACCUACUGACCACAAAGUUCCGGAAAGGUGAAGCAGAUGAAUCGCACUAUCGGAAAUAGUUUAGGGAAAGUGUGUCAAGAAACAGGAUUAAAGUGGGUACAAGCUCUCCCUAUGGUAUUAUUUAAGAUUAGAUGUACCCCUUCUAGAAGAACAGGAUAUUCCCCUUAUGAAAUAUUAUAUCAUAGGCCCCCUCCCAUACUACGGGGACUCCCAGGCACUCCUCGAGAGCUAGGUGAAAUUGCGUUACAGCGACAGCUACAGGCUUUAGGGAAAAUUACACAAUUUCAGCCUGGGUAAAUGAGAGGUGCCCCGGCAGCUUAUUCUCCCCAGUUCACCCUUUCUCCCCAGGUGAUCAGGUGUGGAUCAAGGAUUGGAACAUAGGCUCCUUGCGGCCACGGUGGAAAGGACCCCAGACCAUCAUCUUGACCACUCCCACAGCCGUAAAGAUAGAGGGAAUCCCAGCCUGGAUCCAACACAGCCAGGUAAAACCUGCAGCACCUGAGACCUGGGAGGUGAGACCAAGCCUAGAUAACCCCUGCAAAGUGACUCUGAAGAAGAUGACAAGCCCUGCUCCAGUCACACUCAGAAGCUGACUGGUCCACGCAUGGCCAAAGCAUGAGAAAACUCAUCGUGGGACUCAUUUUCCUUAAAUUUUGGACUUGUACAGUAAGGACUUCAGCUGACCUUCCUCAGACUGAGAACUGUUCCCAGUCACUAAGGUAGGACAAAAUCAAGUCACUAAGGUAGGACAAAAGGUUGCUGCAGUCCUAUUAUUUUAUAGUUAGUAUGAGUGUACUGGGACUCUAAAAGGAACUUGUUUGUAUAAUGCUACUCUAUACAAGGUAUGUAGCCCAGGAAGUGACCAGUCUGAUGUGUACUAUAACCCAUCUGAGCCCCCCUAUGACUACUGUUUUUGAAAUAAGAUCGAGGACUGGCAGCUGGGGAAAAGCUGAUACUAGUAAAGUAAUAACUAGAACAGAAGAGAAAGGAGUCCCCAAACAAAUUAUCUUAAAAUUUGAUGCCUGUGCAGCAAUCAACAGUGACCCAUAUGGAAAUAGAAUAAGAUGUGGCUCUCUAGAUUGGGAAAGGGGCUAUAUAGUAGAAAAUAAGUAUGUUUGUCAUGAAUUAGGACUGUGAAGUGAUGAAUGUAGUUACUGGUCCUGUGUCAUUUAGGCCACCUGGAAAAAAAGAUGAGAAGGACCCUGUCCGCCUUCAAAAAGGAAAGAGUAACUCUUCCUGCACUAGUGGUCACUGUAACCCAUUGAACUACUAAUUACCAAUCCCCUUGAUCCCUGCUGGAAAACAGGAGAGUAUGUAACUCUAGGAAUCGAUGGAACUGGACUGGAUCCCUGAGUAAAUAUUUUAGUCCAAGGGGAGGUCCACAAGCGAUCUUCCAAACCAGUGUUUCAGACCUUUUAUGAUGAGCUGAAUCUGCCAGCACCAGAGCUUCCACAAAAAAGGACAAAGAACUUGUUUCUCCAGUUAGCAGAAUAUGUAGCUCAUUCCCUCAAUGUUACUUCCUGUUAUGUAUGUGAGGGAACCACUAUGGGAGACUGAUGGCCUUGGGAAACCCAAGAAUUAGUGCCUACUGAUCCAGUUCCUGACAUAAUUCCAGUCCAGAAGGCCCAAACUAGCAACUUUUGGGUCUUGAAAACCUCUAUUAAUGGACAAUACUGCAUACCUAGAAAAGGAAAAGACUUCACCAUCCCUGUAGGAAGGCUCAAUUGUCUAGGACAGAAGCUGUAUAAAAGCAUAACAGGGACACAGGGACAGUCACCUGGUGGGGUCUAAACCAUACUGAAAAUAAUCCCUUCAGUAAAUUUCCUAAAUUACAGACUGCUUAGGCCCAUCCACAAUCUCAUCAAGACUGGAUGGCUCCCGCUGGACUAUACUGGAUAUGUAGGCACAGAGCCUACACUCAGUUACCUGAUCAAUGGGCAGGUAGUUGUGUCAUUGGCACCAUUAAGCCAUCCUUUUUCCUACUGCCCAUAAAAACAGGUGACCUCCUAGGUUUCCCUGUCUAUGCCUCCCAAGAAAAGAGGAGCAUAGCUAUAGCAAAUUGGAAAGAUGAUGAGUGGUGCCCCGAAAGGAUCAUACAGUACUAUAGGCCUGCCACAUGGGCACAAGACGACUCAUAGGGAUACCAUACCCCCAUCUACAUGCUCAACUGGAUCAUACGGUUACAGGCCAUCUUAGAAAUAAUCACUAGUGAAACUGGCAGAGCUUUAACUCUUUUAGCCCAGCAGGAAACCCAAAUGAGAAAUGCCAUCUAUCAGAAUAGAUUGGCCUUAGACUAUUUGCUGGCAGCUGAAGGAGGAGUCUGUGAAAAAUUCAACUUGACCAAGUGCUGUCUGCAAAGAGAUGAUCAAGGACAAGUAGUCAAAAAUAUAGUUAGAGACAUGACAAAGCUGGCACAUGUACCCAUGCAGGUUUGGCAUAGGUUUGAUCCUGGAUCCCUGUUUGGAAAAUGGCUUCCAGCUCUAGGAGGAUUUAAAACUCUUAUAAUAGGAAUGAUAAUGGUGUUAGGAACCUGCAUGUUACUCCCCUGUAUGUUACCCAUAUUUCUCCAGUUACUAAGAAGCUUCGUUAUCACCUUAGUUCAUCAAAAGACCUCAGCACAAGUAUACUACAUGAAUCACUAUUGAUCUGUCUCACAGGAAGAUCUAGAUAGUGAGGAUGAUAAUGAGAACUCCCACUAGUGAGUGAGGUUCUCAAAGGGGGGAAUGAGGAGAGAGGCCAUUUCUCCUACUGUCCCCUAUCUCCAAAGAAAAGGAGGAAGUAAAAACUGAAAAAAUAACAGACUGAUCAGCACCACUGGCCAGGCCCGUAGGUUAAAGAUUAACCCACACCCUAACCGCUUGUGCUAUCUAUAGAUCACAGACAAUGGUAUGGAGAAACACUUGCCUUGCUCACCACCCCCACCUAGCCAUGUACCCCAUGCUUGUUCAAUCUAUCACGACCCUUUCAUGUGGACCCCUUAGAGCUGUAAGCCCUUAAAAGGGCCAAGAACUCUUUCUCUGGGACUCAGUUCUUGAGACGCAAGCCUGCCGAUGCUCCUGGCCGAAUAAAGCCUCUUCCUUCUUUAA